rnacentral:rRNA from 1 species
UACGUAGGGGGCAAGCGUUGUCCGGAAUUAUUGGGCGUAAAGAGCGUGUAGGCGGCCAGAUAAGUCCGCUGUGAAAUCUCGAGGCUCAACUUCGAGCUGUCGGUGGAAACUAUCUGGCUAGAGUCCGGAAGAGGAGAAUGGAAUUCCUGGUGUAGCGGUGAAAUGCGCAGAUAUCAGGAGGAACACCGGUGGCGAAGGCGGGACUCUGGGCCGAUACUGACGCUGAGGAGCGAAAGCGUGGGGAGCGAACAGG